UCCAUGUUCCGUUAAUUGCUUUGUGCCAA
rnacentral:piRNA from 1 species